GACGAACCGUGCAAACGUUGUUCGGAUUCACUGGGCUUAAAGGGCGCGUAGGCGGGUGGUCAAGUCAGGGGUGAAAUCUUUCAGCUCAACUGGAAAAUAGCUUUUGAUACUGGCCAUCUUGAGGGAGGUAGGGGCAUGUGGAACUUCCGGUGGAGCGGUGAAAUGCGUAGAUAUCGGAAGGAACGCCGGUGGCGAAAGCGACGUGCUGGACCUUUUCUGACGCUGAGGCGCGAAAGCCAGGGGAGCAAACGGG
rnacentral:rRNA from 1 species